ACAGCUGCUGAAGCUAGCUCACAAUAUCCCUGUCUGCCAGAGAGUGGGGAAGAGAAGGGACCGGCACAGGGCCCCCUCCAUCUCCUACCUAUUAGUGAAGAUCCAUUCGGCAGAGUAGCUGUCGACAUUAUAGUUGCGCAGGCACUUUGGUGACUCUAGAGAACCUCGGGCCAAUCGCACGUCCCCGUGAUGGCGACUUUGCAUUCAGUUGUCUGCCCUAUCAACUUUCGAUGCCACUUUCUGCGCCUACCAUGAUGACCACGGGUAAUGGGGAAUCAGGGUUCGAUUCCG